ACACGUAGGGGCCUGACGUUGUUCGGAAUCAUUGGGCGUAAAGGGCGCGCAGGCGGCCGUCCAAGUCCGGUGUUAAAUGGUCGGGCUCAACCCGAUCAUGCGCUGGAAACUGGGCGGCUUGAGUCCCGUAGGGGAUGCCGGAAUUCCAGGUGUAGGGGUGAAAUCUGUAGAUAUCUGGAAGGACACCGAUGGCGAAGGCAGGCAUCUGGCCGGAGACUGACGCUGAGGCGCGAAGGCGCGGGGAGCGAACAGGUUUAGAUACCCUGGUAGUCCGCGCAGUAAACGAUGCGCACCAGGUGUCGGGCGGCAGCGCCCGGUACCGGAGCUAACGCGAUGAGUGCGCCGCCUGGGGAGUAUGCCCGCAAGGGUGAAACUCAAAUGAAUUGGCGGGG
rnacentral:rRNA from 1 species